GUACACGCUGUGACUAGCAUAUCAAUAAGCGGAGGAAAAGAAACUAACAAGGAUUCCCUCAGUAACGGCGAGUGAGGCGGGAAGAGCUCAAAUUUGAAAUCUUGAAAGGUCACCUUUCACGAAUUGUAGUUUAAAGAAGUGUUUUCUGUUACGAUCGUAAUAUAAGUUCUUUGGAAUAGGACAUCACAGAGGGUGAGAAUCCCGUCUAUGAUUGCGAUUUGUAGCUUUGUGAUACACUUUCAAAGAGUCGGGUUGUUUGGGAAUGCAGCCCUAAACGGGAGGUAAAUUUCUUCUAAGGCUAAAUAUUGGCGAGAGACCGAUAGCGAACAAGUACCGUGAGGGAAAGAUGAAAAGAACUUUGAAAAGAGAGUUAAAUAGUACGUGAAAUUGUCAAAAGGGAAGCGUUUAACACCAGUGUUGUUUUCUGAAAAUCAACCUCUGUUAGCUUUAUGCAUGUUUGUUUAGACCUAAUCAGCUAUCUUGCAUGUUCUAUUGUUUGCAGUGGUGCACUUUUCAGUUUACAGGUCAACAUCAGUUUUUUUUACCGUAAAAAAGUUAAAGAAAGGUAGCUCAUGGCUCCGGUCGUGAGUGUUAUAGUCUUUUUCCUAUGCGGUAGGAGAGACUGAGGUCUGCAGUGUAGGCUAUUUGGCUAGAUACUCAGGUGCUAUGUGAUACCAUUUCAUAAACAACUUGUUGAUUAUGUUUUGUCUAUUGCAUACUCGCUUGUACUAUCAUACCUACGCUUAGGAUGUUGAGUAGCGACAUACGCAC
rnacentral:rRNA from 1 species